rnacentral:rRNA from 2 species
GGAGGGUGCGAGCGUUAAUCGGAAUGACUGGGCGUAAAGGGCAUGUAGGCGGAUAAUUAAGUUAGGUGUGAAAGCCCUGGGCUCAACCUAGGAAUUGCACUUAAAACUGGUUAACUAGAGUAUUGUAGAGGAAGGUAGAAUUCCACGUGUAGCGGUGAAAUGCGUAGAGAUGUGGAGGAAUACCGGUGGCGAAGGCGGCCUUCUGGACAGAUACUGACGCUGAGAUGCGAAAGCGUGGGGAGCAAACAGGAUUAGAUACCCUGGUAGUCCACGCUGUAAACGAUGUCGAUUUGGAGUUUGUUGCCCUGAGUGAUGGGCUCCGAAGCUAACGCGAUAAAUCGACCGCCUGGGGAGUACGGCCGCAAGGUUA